AAUCUGUAACUUCUCUGUUUUAUUAGUUGAAUUGCUUCAUCGCAUUACACAACGCUAGUGUUUACCUUGUUUCUGCCAUUAUGCCGUUUAAUGGUAUUUAUAUAAAAUACAAUUUACAAUCAAACACGUAAUGUCUUUGUCAGACUGUAGAUUGUAGUUCAAUGUGUGAGAUUUUUUUAAACGAACUUUCACGUAUCUAUGAAGGAACUACAUUUCCCAAAAAGCACCGCAGCCUGCCACAGAUCGUACAUAAAGGGAAGCGCGGAAAGUUCUCCCUCUUCUACUUCCGAGGCAACCUAGAAAAAGAUGACUUUGCUGUAUGUUGAAAGUGACAUGUUGAGCCAUGUGUCUGGCAGUCCUUGGGAAAGGAAUUGGCCUUCAGUUGUGGAAGGCUUUCUUUGUCAUACAUAUGCAAAGUUGAUGACCAAGAGUUUGAGUGCAUGGGAAAGAUUUGAUGGACCUUAAAACCUGAAGUCUUGGAAAACUGUUUUCACUGUUUACAGCUGAAAUUCAAAAAGCCUUUCUGUCACUGGACUUGAUGUGUCUAGCCUGCAGUGUGAUCUGCUCUCUGGACCCUCAUCAGUUUUCUUGGCUCAGGUGCAGAGCAUGGUGGUAUGAGCAGAUCAAGGAUUCACAGAACUACCUUCAACUACCCUCUGCCAGCAGAUUCUUUGCAACUGUUAAGCAUCCUGUAUUAGAAUGGUACAACUGGUAGCUGAUAUGUUGGUUAGAGCUGGGCUUUCGGACCUAAAGGUUACAGGUUUGAAUCCCGGCUCUAGCUGUGGUAACAAUUAAGAUGCCUUAAUUGCAUCAGUAAAAUGACUUUCUAGGUAACUUUGGAGAAAGCAUCAGCUAAAUUAAAUGUAGUCAUUGUAUGUAAUUUGAAUUAAUAUAAUGGGCUUAAUUAUGAUUUUUAUUUGAUUUGUUACUUCAGGGUGACUAACUUUUGGUCGGUAAGGGGAUGGUUCGUAACUACAGGCUGUACGGAAGUCAGACGUUUAACCCAGGUACUGCCUGAAUGCUGUUCAGCUUUGUAGAAUUUUUUUUUUUUUUUUUAAAUUGGAAGCUUUAGAGAAACUACCCUUACUUGCUGCUCUUGCUGGUUUAUAAGCCAUUCUGACAUACUGGUGUGGUGCUGUAAACUACUCAAGUAUAAUCUAAUAGAACAAGGUAAAUAUAGUAUUUAGGGUGAACAUAUGGAGUCCUGUUAAUGUAGAAGUUCUUGUACAGCACAAAGCAGUGUAUUCACUAAGUUAAAUUUUGGGUAAUCUUUUGUUGCACUGCUACAAUUCCAGUAUCACCCUGCUUUAAACAUCAUCUUGAAGCCUUGUUCGACCUGAUUUCUGUAAGAGCUUGGAAGAUGUUUGCAAGUUGUGUGUGUGAAGACUGGUAAAUUACCUGUACUAAUAAAAUUUGAAUGGUCCUUUCAAUCUUU